AGUGAACGCUGGCGGUAGGCCUAACACAUGCAAGUCGAACGGCAGCACAGGAGAGCUCGCUCUCUGGGUGGCGAGUGGCGGACGGGUGAGGAAUACAUCGGAAUCUACUCUGUCGUGGGGGAUAACGUAGGGAAACUUACGCUAAUACCGCAUACGACCUACGGGUGAAAGCAGGGGACCUUCGGGCCUUGCGCGAUUGAAUGAGCCGAUGUCGGAUUAGCUAGUUGGCGGGGUAAAGGCCCACCAAGGCGACGGUCCGUAGCUGGUCUGAGGGGAUGAUCAGCCACACUGGAACUGAGACACGGUCCAGACGCCUACGGGAGGCAGCAGUGGGGAAUAUUGGACAAUGGGCGCAAGCCUGAUCCAGCCAUACCGCGUGGGUGGAGAAGGCCUUCGGGUUGUAAAGCCCUUUUGUUGGGAAAGAGAUCCAGCUGGCUAAUACCCGGUUGGGAUGACGGUACCCAAAGAAUAAGCACCGGCUAACUUCGUGCCAGCCGCCGCGGUAA
rnacentral:rRNA from 1 species